UUUUUUUAGAUAAUAUUUAAAAGUAAAUUUUGCCCUAUGAUUUAUUUUAAAUGGCUGCAGUAUUUUGACUGUGCAAAGGUAGCAUAAUAAUUAGUCAUUUAAUUGUUGACUUGUAUGAAUGGAUAAAUGAAAAAUUUAUUUUAUUAAUUUUAUUUUUAAAAUUUAAUUUUUAAGUAAAAAAGCUUAAUUUUUUUUUUGGGACGAUAAGACCCUAGAGAACUUUAUAUUUUAUAAAAUAAAGUUAAUUUUAUAAAUUUUUUUGUUGGGGUGAUAAGUAAAUUUAAACUUUAUUUUAUUUUUUCAUUUUUAAAUGAUUUUUUUGAUCUAAAAUUUUUAAUUAAAAGUUUAAGUUACCUUAGGGAUAACAGCGUAAUUUUAAUGGGGAGUUCAUAUUUAUAUUAAAGUUUGCGACCUCGAUGUUGAAUUAAGAUAAAGUGAAGGGGUAGGUUUUUUUAUUUUAAGUCUGUUCAACUUUUAAAUUCUU
rnacentral:rRNA from 1 species